GAUGAAGAACGUAGCGAAAUGCGAUAAGUAGUGUGAAUUGCAGAAUUCAGUGAAUCAUCGAAUCUUUGAACGCACAUUGCGCCCCUUGGUAUUCCAUGGGGCAUGCUUGUUCGAGCGUCAUUUCAACCUUCAAGCCUGGCUUGGUGUUGGGCGCUGUCCCGCCUCCGCGCGCGGACUCGCCCCAAAUGAAUUGGCAGUCGCACCCUCCGAGCCGCGAGCGCAGCACAAGUCGCGCGGGCGGAACUCUGGGGGGACGGACGCUCCACAAGACCCUUUCUCAGUCUUGACCUCGGAUCAGGUAGGGAUACCCGCUGAACUUAAGCAUAUCAAUAAGCGGAGGA
rnacentral:misc_RNA from 1 species